CCUACGGGAGGCUGCAGUAGGGAAUCUUCCGCAAUGGACGAAAGUCUGACGGAGCAACGCCGCGUGAGCGAAGAAGGUCUUCGGAUCGUAAAGCUCUGUUGUUAGGGAAGAACAAGUACGGGAGGAAAUGACCGUACCUUGACGGUACCUAACGAGGAAGCCACGGCUAACUACGUGCCAGCAGCCGCGGUAAUACGUAGGUGGCAAGCGUUGUCCGGAAUUAUUGGGCGUAAAGCGCGCGCAGGCGGUCUUGUAAGUCUGAUGUGAAAUCUUGGGGCUCAACCGCGGGCGUGCAUUGGAAGCGGGGAGGGGUGGGUGGGGGAGAGGAAAGGGGAAUGCGAGGUGUAGGGGGGAAAUGCGUGGAGAUGUGGGGGAGGACCAGGGGCGAAGGCGGCUUUCUGGUCUGUAACUGACGCUGAGGCGCGAAAGCGUGGGGAGCAAACAGGAUUAGAUACCCGAGUAGUC
rnacentral:rRNA from 1 species